rnacentral:lncRNA from 1 species
UGGUGUUCUGUGCUCCUCAGCAACGACACGAUUAAGAAGGCAGUAAUGAAGGGGGUGGUGGGAAGGCAAAUGCUGGUACAAUGGAUGAGGCAUUCUGGCUCACUGCACAGAGGAAAGCAUAGCACCUGCGGCAUGAAGUUCGACCGGAUGCCCAUCGGUCUGGGUGUGGUGAAAAGCAUGAAUGUGGAGGUCAAGUGUUCAGGGACGUGCGUGGAUCCUGUAUACCUGCAUUUCUAGCAUUGCAUUCUUCAGAAGGGCUUUUCCUUUUUGGUGGCAAACGUACCCUGAUUGGGUUUUUCAGCAGCCAGGAGCUGUGGUGCUGGUCCUGCUGGUGCUGCUGGAUGGGACCAAAGUGAUGCACCCAGUGCUCAGCAGAGCAGGACACGUCCUUCGGGGGCUCAUUGCAGGAGGGAGCUGUGUGGUUGAUUUAUCGCCAUAAUGCAAACACGUGUAAGUCUCCAACAGCACGGUCCAGUGAAGCUGUAAAGCAGGAACACUGAGAGCGCCU